UGUCAAUACUGUGUCCCUUGCCACUGUCUUUCUGAUGCUCUCGGCGAUCAAUUUCACUCUUUUUAUCCAAGUCUCGCUUCCGCUCAUUUUCCUUGCUAGCUCUUCUUUCCAGUUCUUCUACAUCAGAGUUGCUCUUACUAGACCCCUUGUCUUUCUCUUUUCCUUUUUCCUGAUGCUUCUUUUCAACUUCCUUCCGACUCUCUUUCUCUUUAGUAGGAAGUGAUGAUUUGCUGCGAUCUUUUUCAGCUUCCAUUUUCUCAUCUCUAAGUUUCCUACGCUCCUCCACUAACCUUGCAACCUCCUCCCUCUGUUUCCUUU
rnacentral:lncRNA from 1 species